UGUAGGUUUAACUCCAACCCUGUCCCUGGAGAACUGCCCUCCUGUAGGUUAACUCCAACCCUGUUCCUGGAGAACUACCCUCCUGUAGGUUAACUCCAACCCUGUCCCUGGAGAACUACCCUCCUGUAGGUUAACUCCAACCCUGUUCCUGGAGAACUGCCCUCCUGUAGGUUAACUCCAACCCUGUUCCUGGAGAACUGCCCUCCUGUAGGUUAACUCCAACCCUGUUCCUGGAGAACUGCCCUGUAGGUUAAUGUGUGUGUGCGUACCUCCACGCAGUUGUC